CACGGGGAUCCUGAGAGACUUACUAGCAGACCACCAUGGGAAGAUCUCUGUGGACGUGGCAACACUGCGAGAAGACCUGCGGGGUCUAACAGGCAGAAUAAGCAAGCUGGAGCAUACCUUCCUCACGGGAACCCAGCAAAUCACUUCACUCCAGCACGCGGUGAAGGAAUUACAGCAGCAGCAAAGAUCCUUUGAAAACUGCAUGGUGGCCCAAGAAGACGCAAAGCGGCGAAACAACUUAGAAUUACAGGGUGUUUCAGAGACCGUAUCGGACAUGGACUUGCCACAGUUUGUCAUGCACCGAUUGGCGGCCAUACUGAAGCCAAGAACCAUCAACACUGCAGUGCUUACCGGCAUGUUCCGAGUGCCCCGACCUGCCAAGGCACCAGCCACAGCCUCCAGAGAUAUAAUAAUCCAGUUCCAAAGCGGGAAAGACAGAACAGCGUAAUGACCACCAUCA